rnacentral:rRNA from 1 species
UAGGGAAUUUUUCACAAUGAGCGAAAGCUUGAUGGAGCAAUGCCGCGUGAACGAUGAAGGUCUUUAAGAUUGUAAAGUUCUUUUAUUUGGGAAGAAUGACUUUAGCAGGUAAUGGCUAGAGUUUGACUGUACCAUUUUGAAUAAGUGACGACUAACUAUGUGCUAGCAGUCGCGGUAAUACAUAGGUCGCAGGCGUUAUCCGGAUUUAUUGGGCGUAAAGCAAGCGCAGGCGGAUUGAAAAGUCUGGUGUUAAAGGCAGCUGCUUAACAGUUGUAUGCAUUGGAAACUAUUAAUCUAGAGUGUGGUAGGGAGUUUUGGAAUUUCAUGUGGAGCGGUGAAAUGCGUAGAUAUAUGAAGGAACACCAGUGGCGAAGGCGAAAACUUAGGCCAUUACUGACGCUUAGGCUUGAAAGUGUGGGGAGCAAAUAGGAUUAGAUACCCUAGUAGUCCACACCGUAAACGAUAGAUACUAGCUGUCGGGGCGAUCCCCUCGGUAGUGAAGUUAACACAUUAAGUAUCUCGCCUGGGUAGUACAUUCGCAAGAAUG